UACGUAGGGUGCAAGCGUUAAUCGGAAUUACUGGGCGUAAAGCGUGCGCAGGCGGUUUUGUAAGUCUGUCGUGAAAGCCCCGGGCUCAACCUGGGAAUUGCGAUGGAGACUGCAAGGCUUGAAUCUGGCAGAGGGGGGUAGAAUUCCACGUGUAGCAGUGAAAUGCGUAGAGAUGUGGAGGAACACCGAUGGCGAAGGCAGCCCCCUGGGUCAAAACUGACGCUCAUGCACGAAAGCGUGGGGAGCAAACAGG
rnacentral:rRNA from 1 species